GCUAGGUGGGGUGGCAUACACCUGUAAUCCCAAUGGCUUGGGAGGCUGAGACAGGAGAAUCAUGAGUUCAAAGCCAGCAUUACCAAUGACGAGCCGCUAAGUAACUCAGUGAGACCCUGUCUCUA
rnacentral:sRNA from 1 species